ACAGAGGGUGCGAGCGUUAAUCGGAUUUACUGGGCGUAAAGCGUGUGUAGGUGGCUUUGUAAGUCGGUUGUGAAAUCCCUGGGCUCAACCUGGGAAUUGCAUUCGAUACUGCAGAGCUCGAGUUCGGUAGAGGAUGGCGGAAUUCCCGGUGUAGCGGUGAAAUGCGUAGAUAUCGGGAGGAACAUCGAUGGCGAAGGCAACCGUCUGGGCCUGAACUGACACUGUGACACGAAGCGUGGGUAGCAAACAGGA
rnacentral:rRNA from 1 species